CUUGAUUUUUUUUUUUUUAAUUAAGAUUGCUGCCAAAACCAUCUCUCCUGUGUUAACAAUACUGAUGGAAUAGAUUGAAAAAGUAGGAUUUUGAAGAAACACUGAAAAUUCUGACAAGCAAGGUACUUCGCUCAUCAGGAGAAAGGGAGCAAAACCAAUUCAAGUGAAGAACAGGAAGAAGAAAUGUCAUUCUGACCUAGGAGAAACUCACUGCUUAUUGAAAGAAGAUAUAUAUGUGAUGAGGCUACACUUAUGUUGGUGUGACCAGACAGAACCAGUAGUGGUUUUGGCUUCCCUAUGCUCCAAGGCAGCCAGGCAGAUUUGGCACUGAAACGGCAAGGAGUUGCAAGACUGAAUUUAAGUCUCUGAUC